UUACGGCCACAUCACGUUGAAACACCGGUUUCCGUACGAUCACCGAAGUUAAGCAACAUCUAGUCUAGUUAGUACCAAGAUGGGUGACCUCUUGGGAAUACCAGGUGCUGUAAU